ACCACAUUAGGACCGUCGGUCUAUCGAGUAAUUUCACCCGCUCGGUGGAAGAUCUUCCUUUUGUCGU
rnacentral:pre_miRNA from 1 species